rnacentral:misc_RNA from 1 species
UCUCCGUUGGUGAACCAGCGGAGGGAUCAUUACCGAGUUUACAACUCCCAAACCCCUGUGAACAUACCUAUAAUUUGCCUCGGCAGACUCAACGACGGUGCUCCGAGAAAUCGGGCGCCGCUCGCUGCCAGAGGAACCCCAAACUCUAUGUAUUCUUGUGGAUCUUCUGAGUAAAACAAAACAAAUAAAUCAAAACUUUCAACAACGGAUCUCUUGGUUCUGGCAUCGAUGAAGAACGCAGC